rnacentral:tRNA from 1 species
AAGGAUUUAAGUUAAACGAGAAACUCUCAACCUUCAAAGUUGGAAAUAGAGGUAUCUAAGCCUUA